rnacentral:rRNA from 1 species
AUUGAACGCUGGCGGCAGGCCUAACACAUGCAAGUCGAACGAGUGGCGGACGGGUGAGUAAUGUCUGGGAAACUGCCUGAUGGAGGGGGAUAACUACUGGAAACGGUAGCUAAUACCGCAUACCAUCAGAUGUGCCCAGAUGGGAUUAGCUAGUGGGUGGUGUAACGGCUCACCAAGGCGACUAUCCCUAGCUGGUCUGAGAGGAUGACCAGCCGCACUGGGACGGAGGCACGGUCCAGACUCCUACGAGAGGCACCAGUGGGGAAUAGUGCGCAAUGGGCGCAAGCCUGAUGCAGCCAUGCCGCGUGUAUGAAGACGGCCUUCGGGUUGUAAAGUACUUUCAGCGGGGAGACGUUACCCGCAGAAGAAGCACCGGCUAACUCCGUGCCAGCAGCCGCGGUAAUAC